AGUGAACUAAUUGCCUACUUCAAAAGCAGUUUUGCAUGAAAGUCAACAUCUAAUUGGAACUCACAAUGCCCGACACCUCCACACAUCUGCCACAAAUUCCAUGGAAAACAAUACCCACAGAAACUGAACAUACCUUGGUUAACCGUAUAUGAAAUGGGUAACCAUCCUCGAAGAACAUCAACCAGCCGUCGGCAAUGUGCAGGUGGACUGAGGAAUUUUCCGGUGUGUCCUUUAU